CGCCCCGCAGGUCACAGUGCACCGCGUGUCUGUCAGUCGGACCUAAACCAUCUCACGCCGUAACACUACUAGGUGGCAGAUAGGUUCCAAAGCCACAGAGUCGACUGCUGACGCCAGCGGCAGUGGAAAACGAAGGACCACCCCUGCCGGAGGAUUGAAAGGUCAACGGGACGCAACCAGACGACGAAGACCGGAGCAAGCGAACGGGAACGUGCGAGAGUCACACAUCGCUCCACUCGGUCUGUUAACAGAGGGCCUCAGCAUGUGUACUCGUUUCGUUACUUUCUUUUGUGGUCGGCUGCUCUGUUGCGGCGUCCCUGGGAACGAAAGUCAGCUGUUGACCCACACACACAGCUGUUCUAGCGAUGAGGUCGAAAUAUGGAAUGCAGAUACCCAACAGCAACGCACUGAAAUCUGGAAGGCCUCUUCUUCCUGCAUCCGCGAAGGAGCUACAGCGGGGCGGCAACUUGGAGAACGAGACUCCCCUUAUCGGAUUCUGUCGGCUGUGGAAGUAGUCGAUCUGGACCAAAUUUAGUCGCGGCAGAGGGACAAGGUGCCUCCUUUAACAGACGAGACACUUGAAAACCCAAAAAAGUGGCAAAAAAGGUUUCGUGAAUCUCAAGAGUUCUAAUUCUUAAUCAUCGCAUCAGUAACAACACUGUGUAUUUUGUGAUAAGACUAACUACGUCACUAUGGUUUACUGUAACGUCUAAACGACACACAAAUCCAAUAAAAAUUCUGACAAUUUUGCACUAA